UUACAGAACAAUAAUGAAGUUUCACAGCAUGAAGAUGGAGGAGAUUAAUAAAAUCAUCAGAGAUUUAUGGCGGAGCACAUACAGAGGACAAGACAUUGAGUAUGUGGAGAUACACUCUGCUGUGGAUGAGAUCACCUCCGCUGGCCUGAAAAGAAGGACCUAUAACUAUAGAGUUGUAAUGGUCAAAGGAGACACUGUCUUGGACAUGCGUGGACGUUGCAGUGCUGGACAAAAGGUCAAAAAGCCGCUACAUGCAUCAUGGGUUUCUCUAGAAAA